rnacentral:snRNA from 1 species
GUGCUCACUUCGGCAGCACAUAUACUAAAAUUGGGACGAUACAGAGAAGAUUAGCAUGGCCCCUGCACAAGGAUGACACACAAAUUCAGGAAGCAUUCCAUAUUUAA